AUGAACGCUAGCGGCAGGCCUAACACAUGCAAGUCGAGGGGUAGAACACUUCGGUGUUUGAGACCGGCGCACGGGUGCGUAACGCGUAUGCUAUCUACCUUGUACAGGGGAAUAGCCCAGAGAAAUUUGGAUUAAUGCCCCAUAGUAUAUAACCUUCGCAUAUUGGUUAUAUUAAAGUUCCAACGGUACAAGAUGAGCAUGCGUCCCAUAAGUUAGUUGGUAAGGUAACGGCUUACCAAGACGAUGAUGGGUAGGGGUCCUGAGAGGGAGAUCCCCCACACUGGUACUGAGACACGGACCAGACUCCUACGGGAGGCAGCAGUGAGGAAUAUUGGUCAAUGGGCGCAAGCCUGAACCAGCCAUGCCGCGUGCAGGAAGACGGUCCUAUGGAUUGUAAACUGCUUUUAUACAGGAAGAAACCCUCCCACGUGUGGGAGAUUGACGGUACUGUAGGAAUAAGGAUCGGCUAACUCCGU
rnacentral:rRNA from 1 species